CACCCAGGUGCCCCUAGAAUUUCUAACAAGUUCCCAGGUGAUGCUGAUGCUGCUGGUCCAGGGACCUUCCUUUGAGAACCACUGUUUUAUGUGAUGAAAUAGAUUUCCAAUGCAAGAAAAACAAUAUGCAAAUGUUUGCGUGCAUGUGCAUUUUCUUCUGGGUCCCUGAGGCUAAGAACCCUUGUCUCGCUGUCAGUGCCUCUCUGGUUUCUCCAGCAGCUGCUGUGGUUCCGAGUAUGGACACAGGGUGGUGCCAUAUGCCCACAGUGUCUACCCCAGACCUUGCAGGUGGCCUGGCAGCUUUGAGAGGGAGGGUGUGCACGGGUGUCCCCAGGGCAGCAGGGACAGGUGGAGGGCAGAGAUAGGUACAUGCUGGAUGUGGCUGGAUGCAGGACACGAGGCUGAGGAUUCGGGAGACAGGGGUACUUCUGUGUUGCCUUCGGGAGCUCUUCCUGAUGCGACUUCUGUCCAGGACAGGCCAGGGACAGGCCUGGCUUGUCCUGAACCCUGGGCCUGCUCCCUCUUCAAGCCAUGGUUUCUCCUGCUGUUACAGGGGAUUCAUCCAACCCUCCAGCCCUCAGAGCCUUUUACUUUGUUGCUCAAUACGACCCCCCACUUGGCCACCACGCCCUUCUCCAUGGGUUGUCUCAUUUCCUUCCAGGUGGAAGAAGGCAGCCCAGAACACAGGGCAGUGCUCUGCAGAAGCACUGUGGCCACAGAGCAAUGAAGGUAGAGGCCAUGCCAGGCUCCCCACCUCUGGUAGCAUCUGUGUGGGGUCGGGACGGCAGGGAUUUGUGCAGGGUUUGUUUUGAACAGGUGGUUCUUGGGACUAAAAACCCAGUAAGGUUGAGGCCUGAAGCCCACCACUACAGGUGGUGGAAUCCCCGGACGCUGCGUGAACACAGAAGCGAGGGAGGCAGGUUUGUGCUCGGGAAGGCUGGGAAGGUUAGGCAUGGAGGGUAUGGAUGGAAAGGAGCUGAAGGCGAAAGCUGGUGUGGCAUAAAAGUUUGAGGACAUCUCUCUCCCUUGGAGGGCAGCCCCAGCUCCCCUGUCCCAGCCCUCACCAGGGCCUUUCUCAUCCGGUGCUGGGCUGCCAUCCUGCAGCACAGUAGCACACGCCCCCCCCCCCCCCCCGCCCUUACACCCCUGCCUCCUGAGCUGGGAAGGACGGAGAAGGCCUUCCUUACAACCACGCCUGGAUGGUUGGGGACAGCAGGUCUUUUCUGUGAAAAAAGAAACACCGUAGGCUGGAUGAUUGAUCAUCUGACCCGCAGCCUUAUUCCCGACUGGACCUAUAAUUAAAGGUUUAGGUGGAAGGGAUUACUCUAGAGGAGGGGCAGAGCCCCCCACAGCCUAAGGCUGACAUCGGGACCCAGCGCUGCUGCAGAUAACAUUCAGGACACACGCCCGCCUCCAGCCUCCAGGGACUUGGCUCCUCACUGGAAACCAAGGCACAGGGAGACAGUGGGAGGUGGGGUGGGGCGCCCAGAAAAGAGCCCCACAGUUGGAACGAGGGUGGUCUCCAGGGAAGGACAAAAGCGAAACUAGGAUCCUCAUGCGAUGUAUUCAGAUCAUCAACCCACCGUUAGGAGACAAACGGAUUGGGGUGUCGUCAUACCUGGUGAGGACGGUGACCACAGCUGAGUCUGGGGGCUGAGGGACCAAUGUGGUCAGAUGGCCUGCUGCUUCUCGGCGACUGGCCUGUGCCCACACUGAUCAGGUCUGGGCUGUGACUUUUACUGCCGUCCACAGUAAUCAAGGUCCUGCUGACAGCAGAGUAAAGCCCUGCAGUUUCCCCUCUCAAUCCAAGCCGAUGCCGGCCGUGACAUGAGAACUACACCUGUCCUCCCGACCCCAUGCAUCCAGGCCCCGCUCCCAUCCCUCCUUUCCACACCCCAACCUAUCCUUCCAACAUUGACUGAAAAUCUGCCAGGCCCCAACAGUUCCGUGAUGAGCCCAACCAAGUCCUUGCCCUUAUCGGGCUUGUACUCCAGCUACAUAAGGAGACCACCAACCAAUAAGAUGUGUCUGAGGAGAGGUCGUUUGAACAGGGCCUGACUAAUUUGGAAACAUGAGGCUGAGGCACCAGUGUGGGUGGGAGUGAGGUGUGGCUGGGACCAGGCAGGCAGUGGUCAGACCCUUUAGGCCUUGGAGGCCAUGAGAAGGAAGUGGGUGGAGUCUCUGGGGGGCGGGGGCGCUGAGCAGUGGCAGUGGCAGGUCCUGGUUGUUCCUGAAGGGCUGUCCUGGCCACUGUGUGGGACAGUCUCAGAGGACACAUUCAAGGUUGUACAGGGGGAGGGUGGGGUGUGGUGAUGUUGGUGACCUGGUGCGGAGCGUGAGCACCCGAGGGAAACAAGGGUGGUGCUCAGACAUUUGGGCUGAGCAGCUGGGAAGGGACAGGGUGGGGGACUCACUGCAGAGCCUCAGGAACCCCACCAAAGAGGGGGUAAGGGUUGGCAUCGGUACAUCCUAAAUAUCGUGACUGAUAAGCCGCCGGGGUACAAGGCCAGAUGAGGCGUGAAGGUGGGUGGAGAGACAGCGAGAGUCCUGGGGCUGUCAGGGGUCACGCAAGAUCCGGACAAGGUGGAAGGAAGAGCAGAGGCUCAGCAUCCAGCAACCUAGGAGAGAAGGGCUGGAGAGGCCGCUGGGGACUUGACCUUGGCAUGUGACCCCCUGGGGCUCAGGGCCACGGCACUCCUGGGCGACGGGAAGUGGGGUUGAGCAGCGGGUCGUAUCUGGUCACUUCUGUUCUCUCGGGAUCAGCAGCAGGGUCUCCGGUGAGGGGGGAGGGUUUGUACAGAGAGAAGGUGUGAAACAAUCUCUCAGUAGCACAGAUUUGCCAGGAGAUGUUUGCUGUGGGAAGAAACGAGUGACCCAUUCUCUGUAGAAGGGAAGAGAGGCAGGGAGGCUCUGAGCUCACACAGGGCUUGUGGGUGGGUUACAGGCCCACUACCCCAGGGUUGGUGGGCGGCGCGGACCCAGGACAUUUGGCCCUGGGAGCCUUUAUCUGCAUGUGGGCCAGGAGGCAAGGGCCUGAGUGUUGCCCACCCCCCGCCCCCACGCCACCUCCCCGUCCCCGAACUGGCGUGCACAAAGUAUCUGCUGAUCUACCGUGUGCCAUGACUAGUGCAAUGAUGGUGCAAUGGUGACUGUCUAGUCUCGGAACAAAGCUGUCAGCAUUAGUGACAACGCCAUUGACAUCAGCAGCCAGGCUGCUCUGACCCACCAGUGCCGCGCGCAGGUGGAGCGGGGCUGCGUCGGUCACGGACGAGGAGGCUGGGCAGCUCUGCCGGGAACUCCCAAGUUAAGAGAACUUAAAAAUAGCUCUAUGCACCGUCCUGCCAGCGGACACCCCAGAUAUUUAAGGCUCACUCUGAAAUGAUGUCACUUUUCCAUUCUUGCGCUCCCAAAUUCCCUGACUUCCCUGGCCCUGCUUCUCUGAGCGCCUUUCUCAGAGGAAUGAAGGCCUUCUCCAGGUGAUGUCUGCCUGCGCUACACAGGGCCCGAAGACCUCGGGGGCCACGGCAGGGGCAGUGCUGGCAGCUGCCGGUCUGCGCGCUGGCUCUCCCCACUUCUGAGCGGGCGUGCUUUCUGCCAAAGCACCACGACGGGAGGGGACAGCUGCAGUGCUCCCUGCCCCCUCCCCCGGAGCUAUAAAAAGCCCCAACACCCAAGUGAGCAGAGGACACGCCAAGCAGACGUGCAGAACUUUGCUGGACUCACGAGGAGCUCGGCUCAACGGCCAUGCUGAGGUUAGCCUCUGCCAGCAGGCUGCUGCCGGCCCCCCGGAGCGGCUGGGUGCUUCCCAAGGCACACGUCUCCGCCAAGCCAGCCAGAACACCCACUUCUCCCAUGGAGCAAGCCAUCGGGCUCUCGGUGAUGUUCCUCAGCUUCCUGAUUCCUGCAGGCUGGGUCUUACACCACCUGGAGAGCUACAAGAGAAGCUCGGCAGCAUGAAGGCUCUGUGGUUCCAGCUCCAGGCACAGGAUGAAAGAUCGCAUUAAACCCUUCCCUUCA